rnacentral:rRNA from 1 species
ACCGAAGCUAUUGGACCAAAGUUCAAUAGUAUAUUUCCGAUUAUUGCGAUACUGUUACUUUGAGAAAAUUAGAGUGUUUGAAGCAGGCUAAUUGCCUUGAAUACUGCAGCAUGGAAUAACAAUAUAGGAUUUCGGUUCUAUUUUGUUGGUUUCUAGGACUGAAAUAAUGAUUAAUAGGGACAGUUGGGGGCAUUCGUAUUUAACUGUCAGAGGUGAAAUUCUUAGAUUUGUUAAAGACGAACUACUGCGAAAGCAUUUGCCAAAGAUGUUUUCAUUAAUCAAGAACGAAAGUUAGGGGCUCGAAGACGAUCAGAUACCGUCGUAGUCUUAACCAUAAACUAUGCCG